rnacentral:ncRNA from 1 species
CAACUUGAGAGUUUGAUCCUGGCUCAGAACGAACGCUGGCGGCAUGCCUAACACAUGCAAGUCGAACGAGACCUUCGGGUCUAGUGGCGCACGGGUGCGUAACGCGUGGGAACCUGCCCUUAGGUUCGGAAUAACUCAGAGAAAUUUGAGCUAAUACCGGAUAAUGUCUUCGGACCAAAGAUUUAUCGCCUUUGGAUGGGCCCGCGUUGGAUUAGCUAGUUGGUGGGGUAAAGGCCUACCAAGGCGACGAUCC